CGGACGGGUGAGUAACACGUGGAUAACUUACCUAUAAGACUGGGAUAACUUCGGGAAACCGGAGCUAAUACCGGAUAAUAUAUUGAACCGCAUGGUUCAAUAGUGAAAGACGGUUUUGCUGUCACUUAUAGAUGGAUCCGCGCCGCAUUAGCUAGUUGGUAAGGUAACGGCUUACCAAGGCAACGAUGCGUAGCCGACCUGAGAGGGUGAUCGGCCACACUGGAACUGAGACACGGUCCAGACUCCUACGGGAGGCAGCAGGC
rnacentral:rRNA from 1 species